CUGAGAGGAUGACCAGCCACACUGGAACUGAGACACGGUCCAGACUCCUACGGGAGGCAGCAGUGGGGAAUAUUGCACAAUGGGCGCAAGCCUGAUGCAGCCAUGCCGCGUGUAUGAAGAAGGCCUUCGGGUUGUAAAGUACUUUCAGCGGGGAGGAAGGGAGUAAAGUUAAUACCUUUGCUCAUUGACGUUACCCGCAGAAGAAGCACCGGCUAACUCCGUGCCAGCAGCCGCGGUAAUACGGAGGGUGCAAGCGUUAAUCGGAAUUACUGGGCGUAAAGCGCACGCAGGCGGUUUGUUAAGUCAGAUGUGAAAUCCCCGGGCUCAACCUGGGAACUGCAUCUGAUACUGGCAAGCUUGAGUCUCGUAGAGGGGGGUAGAAUUCCAGGUGU
rnacentral:rRNA from 1 species